AGCGAACGUUUGCGGCGGGCCUAACACAUGCAAGUCGAACGCACUAGCAAUAGUGAGUGGCGCACGGGUGCGUAACACGUGGGUAAUCAACCCUUCAGCUUGGGAUAACGACUUGAAAGGGUCGCUAAUACCGGAUACGGCGAGAGAGGCUUCGGCAUUUCUCGAGAAAGCCUCGCAAGGGGCACUGAAGGACGAGCCUGCGGCCCAUCAGCUAGUUGGUGAGGUAAGAGCUCACCAAGGCGAAGACGGGUAGCUGGUCUGAGAGGAUGAUCAGCCACACUGGAACUGAGACACGGUCCAGACUCCUACGGGAGGCAGCAGUGGGGAAUAUUGCGCAAUGGGCGAAAGCCUGACGCAGCCACGCCGCGUGAGCGAUGAAGGCCUUCGGGUCGUAAAGCUCUGUGGGGAGAGACGAAGAAGCCGGUGAAGAGCCGGCCG
rnacentral:rRNA from 1 species